UGAGAUAGAGGAUGCACCUGAUCAGGAGUAGCUGUCCCGCCGGUAUGCAGAACGGGGACAGACGAAAGGGGCGGGUGCCGAAGUGAUGAAGGGGCUGCAUCCCCUCUGAGCUGGGCGUAUGGAUAAUAUCCAUGCGACUGUCGCGAAGGAACGCGGAGAGCUAUCC
rnacentral:ncRNA from 1 species